GAUGAAGAACGCAGCGAAAUGCGAUACGUAAUGUGAAUUGCAAAUUCAGUGAAUCAUCGAGUCUUUGAACGCACAUUGCGCCCCCUGGUAUUCCGGGGGGCAUGCCUGUCCGAGCGUCAUUGCUGCCCUCAAGCACGGCUUGUGUGUUGGGCCCCGUCCUCCGAUCCCGGGGGACGGGCCCGAAAGGCAGCGGCGGCACCGCGUCCGGUCCUCGAGCGUAUGGGGCUUUGUCACCCGCUCUGUAGGCCCGGCCGGCGCUUGCCGAUCAACCCAAAUUUUUAUCCAGGUUGACCUCGGAUCAGGUAGGGAUACCCGCUGAACUUAAGCAUAUCAAUGAGCGGAGGA
rnacentral:misc_RNA from 1 species